GAAUUCGAUUAACGCGAAGAACCUUACCAGGGAUUGACAUGACGGUAGUAGUGAAGCGAAAGCGGAACGACCCUUCGGGGAGCCGUCACAGGUGAUGCAUGGCUGUCGUCAGCUCGUGCCGUGAGGUGUUUGGUUAAGUCCACUAACGAGCGCAACCCCUAGUGCCAGUUACAAGUGUCUGGCGCGACUGCCGGUAUUAAGCCGGAGGAAGGUGGGGAUGACGUCAAGUCAGCAUGUCCUUUAUACCCUGGGCGACACACACGCUACAAUGGCCAGCACAAUGGGUCGCCAAGCCGUGAGGCGGAGCCAAUCCUAAAAAGCUGGUCUCAGUUCGGAUUGCAGGCUGCAACCCGCCUGCAUGAAGUCGGAGUUGCUAGUAACCGCAGGACAGCUAUACUGCGGUGAAUACGUUCCCGGGCCUUGUCACACCGAAUCACUA
rnacentral:rRNA from 1 species